CACGAAGCAAUCGGAAGUGGUUCCAAGAAAAGCCUCUAAGCUUCAGUCAUACGAGACCGUACCGCAAACCGACACAGGUGGGCGAGAUGAGUAUUCUAAGGCGCUUGAGAGAACUCGGGAGAAGGAACUCGGCAAAUUGGUACCGUAACUUCGGGAAAAGGUACGCCCCGGUAGCUUGACUGGUUUACUCCAGAAGGGUGAAAGGGUUGCAAUAAACUGGUGGCUGCGACUGUUUAAUAAAAACACAGCACUCUGCAAACACGAAAGUGGACGUAUAGGGUGUGACGCCUGCCCGGUGCUGGAAGAUUAAAUGAUGGGGUGCAAGCUCUUGAUUGAAGUCCCAGUAAACGGCGGCCGUAACUAUAACGGUCCUAAGGUAGCGAAAUUCCUUGUCGGGUAAGUUCCGACCUGCACGAAUGGCGUAACGAUGGCCACACUGUCUCCUCCCGAGACUCAGCGAAGUUGAAAUGUUUGUGAUGAUGCAAUCUACCCGCGGCUAGACGGAAAGACCCCAUGAACCUUUACUGUAGCUUUGCAUUGGACUUUGAACCAAUCUGUGUAGGAUAGGUGGGAGGCUUUGAAGCGGGGACGCUAGUUCUCGUGGAGCCAACCUUGAAAUACCACCCUGGUUUGUUUGAGGUUCUAACCUUGGUCCGUUAUCCGGAUCGGGGACAGUGCAUGGUAGGCAGUUUGACUGGGGCGGUCUCCUCCUAAAGUGUAACGGAGGAGUUCGAAGGUACGCUAGAUACGGUCGGACAUCGUGUUGAUAGUGCAAUGGCAUAAGCGUGCUUAACUGCGAGACUGACAAGUCGAGCAGGUACGAAAGUAGGACAUAGUGAUCCGGUGGUUCUGUAUGGAAGGGCCAUCGCUCAACGGAUAAAAGGUACUCUGGGGAUAACAGGCUGAUUCCUCCCAAGAGUUCAUAUCGACGGGGGAGUUUGGCACCUCGAUGUCGGCUCAUCACAUCCUGGGGCUGUAGCCGGUCCCAAGGGUAUGGCUGUUCGCCAUUUAAAGUGGUACGUGAGCUGGGUUUAAAACGUCGUGAGACAGUUUGGUCCCUAUCUGCCGUGGGCGUUGGAAAUUUGAAGGGGGCUGCUCCUAGUACGAGAGGACCGGAGUGGACGAACCUCUGGUGUACCGGUUGUCACGCCAGUGGCAUUGCCGGGUAGCUAAGUUCGGAAGAGAUAACCGCUGAAAGCAUCUAAGCGGGAAACUUGCCUUGAGAUGAGAUUUCCCAGAGCCUUGAGCUCUUUGAAGGGUCGUUCGAGACCAGGACGUUGAUAGGCUGGGUGUGGAAGUGCAGUAAUGCAUUAAGCUAACCAGUACUAAUUGCCCGUACGGCUUGUCCCU
rnacentral:rRNA from 1 species